rnacentral:lncRNA from 1 species
GGACUUAGCAGCAGCAGCAGCAGCAGCAGCAGAGGUUGGCAAACGAUCAUGGAUUUGUUAUUUUUAAAUGUUUUUUUUUUAAUCAAAAGAUAGAAUUGCCUGAUAUGUGAACACUUGAUAGACUUCACCACCUCCGAAUACAGUUUUAUGGAGCCCAGCCACACCCACCUGUCUGCAUAUUGUGCACACCUCACACACUGUGCAUGGUGUGUUGGAGUUCCAGAGCCUCACACAGUGACCAUCUGCCCCUCUGCAGAAGCAGCUUGCCAAGCCCUGCCUGAGGUCACGGGGUAAAAAAGUCUUGUUCCCAUGUGUAAGGCCAUUCCCAGUGGCAAACAUCUGGGGGAGAAGGCGCCCCGCUGGCAAGUUAAGAAGGGGCCGAGGUCAACUCUGGCAUUAGUCCCCUUCCUUCUCCGGUAUGAGGAUGCGAAUGCCAGGAUGGCCUGCAGCUGGGGUCUUUCUAGAGAGACGGCGAGGACCCAGAGGGCCGAAAGAAUCAAAUCACCUUCCAGAAAUUAGCUGACUAAAUUGCUUGGAAAAUAGCUUUAACGACGGCUGCUGCUUAGGAAGUAAGUGAUUCUCCCUCUUUGCAGACUAACCCUCUUCCUACCUCUGGUCCGUGGUGGAGGGAGGUGCAUUCAAGGCUGUGAGUUCCCUGCAUGUUCCCAG